GGCAUUCAGAUUUGAAGUGUCCCAGCUUCUUGCAUUCGUAGCAGAUAAGGGGUUGGUCUUUCUCUUUUUCUUUGCUCUGUUCUCCUUUUGUGAAUGGCCUCUUCCUCAUCCCCUAUUUUUUUUUCUCAAAAAUUUCUUGAAUCUUCGGGUAAUGAGUGCCAUCUCUUCAUCCUGUUCUUCAUCUUCAGUGUCAUCAGUUUCUUCAUCUGGUGGAGCUGUGGAUUUGAGGGCAAUUGUUCUUUUCUUUUUGACUUCUUCCUCUUGAUGUUGCUUAAUGCUUAGCUCAUGAGUCAUCAAUGAUCCAAAAAGCUCUUCCAAGGGUAGAAUGUUCAAGUCCUUAGCUUCUUGGAUGGCAGUC
rnacentral:lncRNA from 1 species